GACGAAGGGGGCUAGCGUUGUUCGGAAUUACUGGGCGUAAAGCGCGUGUAGGCGGUUAUCCAAGGCGGGGGUGAAAGCCUUGAGCUCAACUCAAGAAAUGCACUCGGUACUGGGUGACUAGAGGACCGGAGAGGAUAGUGGAAUUCCCAGUGUAGUGGUGAAAUACGUAGAGAUUGGGAAGAACACCAGUGGCGAAGGCGGCUAUCUGGACGGUUUCUGACGCUAAGACGCGAAAGCGUGGGGAGCAAACAGG
rnacentral:rRNA from 1 species